GCCUAGAUGGCAUAGUGGUUAAAGUGACAAACUGAGACUGUGGAGACCAGGGUUCAAAUCCCCACUCAGUCACUGGGUG